rnacentral:rRNA from 1 species
GGGCCUAUACAUGCAAGUCGAACGCUUUGUGGUUCAACUGAUUUGAAGAGCUUGCUCAGAUAUGACGAUGGACAUUGCAAAGAGUGGCGAACGGGUGAGUAACACGUGGGAAACCUACCUCUUAGCAGGGGAUAACAUUUGGAAACAGAUGCUAAUACCGUAUAACAAUGACAACCGCAUGGUUGUUAUUUAAAAGAUGGUUCUGCUAUCACUAAGAGAUGGUCCCGCGGUGCAUUAGCUAGUUGGUAAGGUAAUGGCUUACCAAGGCAUGAUGCAUAGCCGAGUUGAGAGACUGAUCGGCCACAAUGGGACUGAGACACGGCCCAUACUCCUACGGGAGGCAGCAGUAGGGAAUCUUCCACAAUGGGCGAAAGCCUGAUGGAGCAACGCCGCGUGUGUGAUGAAGGGUUUCGGCUCGUAAAACACUGUUGUAAGAGAAGAAUGACAUUGAGAGUAACUGUUCAAUGUGUGACGGUAUCUUACCAGAAAGGAACGGCUAAAUACGUGCCAGCAGCCGCGGUAAUACGUAUGUUCCAAGCGUUAUCCGGAUUUAUUGGGCGUAAAGCGAGCGCAGACGGUUAUUUAAGUCUGAAGUGAAAGCCCUCAGCUCAACUGAGGAAUUGCUUUGGAAACUGGAUGACUUGAGUGCAGUAGAGGAAAGUGGAACUCCAUGUGUAGCGGUGAAAUGCGUAGAUAUAUGGAAGAACACCAGUGGCGAAGGCGGCUUUCUGGACUGUAACUGACGUUGAGGCUCGAAAGUGUGGGUAGCAAACAGGAUUAGAUACCCUGGUAGUCCACACCGUAAACGAUGAGUGCUAGGUGUUUGAGGGUUUCCGCCCUUAAGUGCCGCAGCUAACGCAUUAAGCACUCCGCCUGGGGAGUACGACCGCAAGGUUGAACUCAAAGGAAUUGACGGGGACCCGCACAAGCGGUGGAGCAUGUGGUUUAAUUCGAAGCAACGCGAGACCUUACCAGGUCUUGACAUCCCUUGACAACUCCAGAGAUGGAGCGUUCCCUUCGGGACAAGUGACAGUGUGCAUGUUGUCGUCAGCUCGUGUCGUGAGAUGUUGGUAGUUCCGCACGACGCACCCUAUACUAGUGCCAUCAUCAGUGGGCACUCUAUAGACUGCGUGACGACGAGAGUGGGAUGAUCAAUCUCAUGCCUGACCUGCCUCACGCUACAGCUACACGAGUGCCA